GAUGAACGCUGGCGGCGUGCCUAACACAUGCAAGUCGAGCGGACAGAUGAUGAGCUUGCUGCUCUCACGUUAGCGGCGGACGGGUGAGUAACACGUGUAUCACCUACCUAUCAGACUGGUAUCACUUCGGGACACCGGCGCUAAUCCCGUAUAAUAUCUUGAUCCGCAUUGUUCGAUAGUGAAAGACGGUUUUGCUGUCACUUCUCGCUGCAUCCCGGCCGGAUUAGAUAGUUGUUGCGGUCACGGCUUACCACGGCGACCAUGCGUAGCCGACCGGGGAGGCGGGUAGGCGACAUGGGAGCGGGGACGCGGACAUGACUCCUACGAGAGGCAGCAGUAGGGAAUGUGAGGCAAUGGGCGAAAGCCUGACGGAGCAGCGCCGCGUGAGUGAUGAAGGUGUUCGGAGCGGAAUACUCGGUUAUUAGGGAUGAACAGAUGUGUAAGUAAAUAUGCACGUCUUGACGGUACCGGAUCAGAAAGCCACGGCUAACUACGUG
rnacentral:rRNA from 1 species